GAUAGAUUUUAAGAAAUAUAAAAUAAUCCGAAUUGAAUUCCUUUUGAUCCUUCAACAAUUUUGGCCUCAAAACUUCCCUCAGAUUUAGGAUUCACUCCACUUCCUGGACCCUUAUCAAGGCUUCUGAAAAAAUGGUCUGAUAAUCUUAAAUGGAGUGUUCGCGAAAAAUGAAGGGUGGUAAACAGACUUACAGCGAAAAAUUAUCGAUGGUACCUGUUAUUUCCUUUGGAAGAGAAACUAUGUUAAUUCAGUUUUUCAAAGAGAAAAGAAAUAUAUGAAAAUAAAUAAUUCUGCAAUAUUUUGUUCAGAUUAAAAAUCUGACAUAUAGAGAUAACCAGGAAACUGUGGUAUAAAUUGACGAUAUUACCGUAUUAAGUGUUUUCGAUGUUCUUACAUAUCAAAUAGUUUAAAUACUAAGUUAUUAAAUCACUUUAGGUAAGAUUGAUCUGUUUUCAACACACAGUGUCUGUGUCUCAUGUUUUAUUGACUGUUUCAUGUCAUAAAUGUCAUAGAUUGAGCCUAAAAGUAGUCUAUUAGUCUUGGCCUUUUUAAAAUGUGUUGAGAGAUAUGAAGAAUUUAGUUCAGAUUCCGAUAUAUUUGGUUUUAUUCAAUAAAAUUAAAAUCUAAGCAAAAUGUUUAACAUCUCCGGUAAUAUCGACAGUACAAUAAAUGUAAACCACAUAUUGGAAAUGUAAGGACUGGGGGAAUUUUGUGGUUAUUGUUUCAAGAAUCAUACUUGUCAUAAUAGGUUGACUGAAUGUCACAAUUAUAUUUAAACUUCAAAGACGACUUUAAAGUCGAUUUUCUUCAUGUUUCGUAGUUUUAAUUGACACUUAAUUUAUAAAGAGAUAUAUUUCAGAAAAGUUAUUUCUCUUUUUAUAUCUUCAAAACUAUGAUUUAAAAAUAGUGGGCUGCAGAUUUAUGCAAUAGAAGAGAAAAAAUAUUAACAAAAUUCAACAAAUUUCCAAAAUCAGUCGUUGUCGCAUAUAUUAAUACAAUGAAGACGACUUUAGAUUUAAAUUUGAUUUAUAUCAAGCUUUUAUACAGCACACAUAAAAAUGGAAACAAAGAGAUUAAAAAAGAUUCUCUUCAAUUAUAUGCAAAUUUGUAAUACGAAAAAAGCCUGUUAACAAUCAAAGUCGUUUUAAUUGAAUGAUAUAAUCACCGACCACUGCAUACAAUCUACAGUACAUUUUCUACAUUUUUGAAGGGUACCACUUGUCACUCUAUAAAUGUAAGUUCACUUGAAAAUAUUCCUACAGUUCCUUUAAAAAGAUUUAAGUUAAC